CAGUAGCCGCGGUAAUACGAGGGGGGCAAGCGUUGUUCGGAAUUAUUGGGCGUAAAGGGUGCGUAGGCGGCUUGACAAGUCUUGUGUGAAAUCUAUGGGCUCAACCCAUAGUCUGCACGGGAAACUGUCGGGCUUGAGAAUGGGAGAGGUGAGUGGAAUUUCCGGUGUAGCGGUGAAAUGCGUAGAUAUCGGAAGGAACACCUGUGGCGAAAGCGGCUCACUGGACCAUAACUGACGCUGAGGCACGAAAGCUAGGGGAGCAAACAGGAUUAGAUACCCGCGUAGUCCCUGUCUCUUAUAC
rnacentral:rRNA from 1 species